GGGGAAGUGCUGGAACUGGCAGACAGGCUUGACUUAGGAUCAAGUGCCGCAAGGCGUGAGGGUUCAAGUCCCUCCUUCCCCACCA
rnacentral:tRNA from 1 species